CUGCAAGCUGAUAACAGCCCUGAAACAGAACCAAUUGAAGGAGAUUCUUUUUAUCUACAGGUUAAAAUAAUAGGAAAGCAGGGAAUAUGCAAGGAGCAGAAUGCAGCUCUGACAUGAAGAAUUAGUCACUGUUGGAAAAGCAUUGCUUGAACUGUUGAAGGAAGAGCCUUGCUGUCCAUAAAAGCAACACAACAGAAACUGUACUUCCACAUGAUCUUGAAAACAGAGUGGUAACAUCUUGUCUUCUUUGAAGUUGGCAACCCCAGGGAUGUUCUGAAGUGUACUUGCUGUCUGUGGCAUAAAAGGCCUCGCCAUCAAUGGAAUGCAAAGGAACUGAGCUGAAGAAGAGGAUCUGCCACAAACACUUCAGUGAACAAAUUAAAGAGACAACCUCUGUCCUGCGGGAGUUGUAAUCUAAGUCCCGUGUAGACUGGCAUAUGAGAACAGCCCUAUGGUCUGCAACUCUACUUUACAGCUGGAGGAUAAUCACCUAACUUGAGACUCUCCACAAUGACUAAGAGCCAGAACUUCUUCCAGCAAAGACUUCAGACUCAAAACAGAUCAUACUGCAUAAGGACAGAGAAGAGCAAUUGGUUGUUAUAACACAACCAUGGUAACAUCUCAGCACUCAGCUAUCAUUCCAGAUGGGAAAUAAGAGG